CGGGGGGAGCAAGCGUUGUUCGGAUUUACUGGGCGUAAAGGGCGCGUAGGCGGCCACCGCAAGUCGACUGUGAAAUCUCCGGGCUUAACCCGGAAAGGUCAGCCGAUACUGCGGGGCUAGAGUGCAGAAGGGGCAACUGGAAUUCUCGGUGUAGCGGUGAAAUGCGUAGAUAUCGAGAGGAACACCUGCGGCGAAGGCGGGUUGCUGGGCUGACACUGACGCUGAGGCGCGAAAGCUAGGGGAGCGAACGGGAUUAGAUACCCCGGUAGUCCUAGCCUUAGACGAUGAAUGCUUGGUGUCUGGGGUUUUAUAGUCCCCGGGUGCCGUCGCUAACGCUUUAAGCAUUCCGCCUGGGGAGUACGGUCGCAAGACUG
rnacentral:rRNA from 1 species